rnacentral:rRNA from 1 species
UACGUAGGCAGCAAGCGUUGUUCGGAGUUACUGGGCGUAAAGGGCGCGUAGGCGGCCUGGCAAGUGGAAGGUGAAAUCCCUCGGCUUAACCGAGGAACUGCCCUCCAAACUGCUUGGCUUGAGUCCGGGAGAGGUGAGUGGAAUUCCCAGUGUAGCGGUGAAAUGCGUAGAUAUUGGGAGGAACACCAGUGGCGAAGGCGGCUCACUGGACCGGAACUGACGCUGAGGCGCGAAAGCGUGGGGAGCAAACGGGG